UACAGGGGGUGCAAACGUUGCUCGGAAUCAUUGGGCGUAAAGCGCACGUAGGCGGUUCGUUAUGUCGGAUGUGAAAGCCCUUGGCUUAACCGAGGAAGUGCAUCCGAAACUGGCGAGCUAGAGUACGAAAGAGGAUCGCGGAAUUCCCGGUGUAGAGGUGAAAUUCGUAGAUAUCGGGAGGAACACCGGUGGCGAAGGCGGCGAGUCUGGGUCGAUACUGACGCUGAGGUGCGAAAGCGUGGGGAGCAAACAGGG
rnacentral:rRNA from 1 species